AAUGCCCGCUCCCGCCGUGCAGUCUGCCUCCGCAUGACGCUCAAUUAAAGCAUGCUGCGUUAAGUACUCCCCUGAAGGCUAGCUCAUGAAUUAGCUAUAAACACAUUAAUUCCACACGAUACAGAUUAAUAAAAAAGGAAAUUAUUUUUGCAUAGUUUUUUCUUUAUUACAUUAAGUCUUUUCUCCCCCAACUCCAGAGUGGUACUUUUGGGGGCAGAUAUUUCUCCACAUUUGUGGGCUUCCAAGAUACAAAUUAGCUAUAUAACUAAAUCACCUUCCAAAAACGAACAAUGGAAAUUAAAGUAGCAGUGACAAGUUGUAGGUGUUCUUCUCUGUAGCUUGGUAUGGUCUCAAGAUAAAAACACAACCAUGUUCUUUCAAUGCAUGAGAUGAGGUGAUGAACCAAGCAAAAAUAUUCCCCAUUCACCAACAGCCUUUAUUUCCACGUCGUUUCCUCACUGGGCUUCAGCUCUCUCUUGUACAAUACGCUCUUGUUUCGGAAAGCUGACAGCUUCUCAUCGUUCCAUCUGUCCAGAUAGCAUCCAACCACGAAUCCCAAGGGAACGAGGAUGUGAACCCAGUGGUCACGCACUGCUUGGGCAAAAUUCACCAUGGCUGCACGCCAGGCCCCGCACAGCGGCC
rnacentral:lncRNA from 1 species